UACGUAGGGUCCGAGCGUUGUCCGGAAUUACUGGGCGUAAAGAGCUCGUAGGUGGUUUGUCGCGUUGUCCGUGAAAACUCACAGCUCAACUGUGGGCGUGCGGGCGAUACGGGCAGACUGGAGUACUGCAGGGGAGACUGGAAUUCCUGGUGUAGCGGUGGAAUGCGCAGAUAUCAGGAGGAACACCGGUGGCGAAGGCGGGUCUCUGGACAGUUCCUGACGCUGAGGCACGAAGGCCAGGGGAGCAAACGGG
rnacentral:rRNA from 1 species